AAGUGAUCUGACUACAGGUAGUACAGUCUGUCAGCCAGGUGUACAGAUGACUAACGAUGUGACCUGACUACAGGUAGUACAGUCUGUCAGCCAGGUGUACAGAUGACUAACAAAGUGAUCUGACUACAGGUAGUACAGUCUGUCAGCCAGGUGUACAGAUGACUAACGAUGUGACCUGACUACAGGUAGUACAGUCUGUCAGCCAGGUGUACAGAUGACUAACGAUGUGACCUGACUACAGGUAGUACAGUCUGUCAGCCAGGUGUACAGAUGAC